UACAGAGGGGGCAAGCGUUGUUCGGAAUUACUGGGCGUAAAGGGCUCGUAGGUGGCCAACUAAGUCGGACGUGAAAUCCCCAGGCUCAACCUGGGAACUGCGUCCGAUACUGGAUGGCUUGAAUCCGGGAGAGGGAUGCAGAAUUCCAGGUGUAGCGGUGAAAUGCGCAGAUAUCAGGAGGAACACCGGUGGCGAAGGCGGGUCUCUGGGCCGAUACUGACGCUGAGGAGCGAAAGCAUGGGUAGCGAACAGG
rnacentral:rRNA from 1 species